GAUUAACGCUGGCGGCGUGCCUAACACAUGCAAGUCGAGCGGCAGCGAGUUUUACACUGAAUUCUGGAAGCUUCUAGUUGAAAGAGAAGAUUUAUUCAAGAAUUUUGUGUAAAAUGUCGGCGAGCGGCGGACGGCUGAGUAACGCGUGGGAACGUACCCCAAAGUGAGGGAUAACGCAUCGAAAGGUGUGCUAAUACCUCAUAUGGUCUUCGGAUUAAAGCCUUCGGGCGCUUUGGGAACGGCCUGCGUAAGAUUAGAUAGUUGGUGGGGUAAUUGCCUACCAAGUCGACGAUCUUUAACUGGUUUGAGAGGAUGAUCAGUCAGACUGGAACUGAGACACGGUCCAGACUACUACGGGAGGCAGCAGUGAGGAAUCUUCCACAAUGGGCGAAAGCCUGAUGGAGCAACGCCGCGUGCAGGAUGAAGGCCUUCGGGUUGUAAACUGCUUUUAUAAGUGAGGAUUAUGACAGUAACUUAUGAAUAAGGAUCGGCUAACUACGUG
rnacentral:rRNA from 1 species